GACGAUCAGUAGCCGGCCUGAGAGGGCGGACGGCCACACUGGGACUGAGACACGGCCCAGACUCCUACGGGAGGCAGCAGUGGGGAAUUGUUCGCAAUGGGCGCAAGCCUGACGACGCAACGCCGCGUGGAGGAUGAAGGUCUUCGGAUUGUAAACUCCUGUUGAUCGGGACGAAAAGCUUCGACCUAACACGUCGGGGACUGACGGUACCGGUUGAGGAAGCCACGGCUAACUCUGUGCCAGCAGCCGCGGUAAUACAGAGGUGGCAAGCGUUGUUCGGAAUUACUGGGCGUAAAGGGCGCGUAGGUGGCCUUCUAAGUCGGACGUGAAAGCCCCAGGCUUAACCUGGGAACUGCGUCCGAUACUGGGAGGCUUGGAUUCGGGAGAGGGAUGUGGAAUUCCAGGUGUAGCGGUGAAAUGCGUAGAUAUCUGGAGGAACACCGGCGGCGAAGGCGGCAUCCUGGACCGGCAUUGACGCUGAGGCGCGAAAGCCAGGGGAGCAAACGGGAUUAGAUACCCCGGUAGUCCUGGCCCUAAACGAUGAAUGCUUGGUGUGGCGGGUAUCGAUCCCUGCCGUGCCGAAGCUAACGCAUUAAGCAUUCCGCCUGGGGAGUACGGUCGCAAGGCUG
rnacentral:rRNA from 1 species